AUUUUAACGUGACAGCGGCCGCCGUUGUCUACACUUCCAACGGCUAUGCAUUCGCAUGGCUCUCACCUCCUUAAAUGGCGGAAUCUCGACUGCAUAAUUUGUGGUAGUGGGGGACUGCGUUCGCGCUCUCCCCUG
rnacentral:snRNA from 10 species